rfam:Oryza sativa Japonica Group DNA, chromosome 5, cultivar: Nipponbare, complete sequence.
AAUAAAUGACGCCGUUGACUUUUUCUCACAUGUUUGACCAUUCGUCUUAUUCAAAAAAAUUUACGUAAUUAUAAUUUAUUUUAUUAUGAGUUGUUUUAUCACUCAUAGUACUUUAAGUGUAAUUUAUAUCUUAUACAUUUGCAUAAAGUUUUUAAAUAAGACGAAUGGUCAAACAUGUGAGAAAAAGUCAACGGCGUCAUCUAUU